AUGCCACAAACUGUCGCUGCCGCUGAAUCUCAUCGCUUCAGAGGAAGACACUCUGGGAAUGCCCUUGAUCGCCUCCUGCAUCCACGGUUCUUCUGUGGCUCCUGGUCAUCUAUGUUUAGGCUUGCAGUUUAUUGUAGGAUGAGGGCUGCACACUGGAAACAGAAAGCCUGGAUAUCCUGUGGUGCUUCCAGUAGCACUGUGUGGUGCUCAACAGCAUCUCUUCCAGUCCUCCAUCUCUAUGACAUUUUGACGGGUAACACAAAUUGGACCAUCUUCUUCCCCAUCGUCCAUUUUGUGCUGCCUGCCUGGUAACAGCAGCCUAGGCAUUUUGCAUGUAAACUGCUCAAUUCAGCCAUUUUGAUCAGCUGGUGUAGAACCACUGCAGACAGGGAGAGAGUAGAGGUUUAAGGUGAUAACAACUUUAUUUGAUUUAUGGGGUUUAGCUUUUGGUACGAAGCUCCACCUACUCAGCAACAUGAGCAUGUUUGUGAGUUUGCAGAUUUACUUCAGUGCUCCAGCAGAUCAUCUUUCCCUUCUGCUACUCCUCUGGAAAUACUUCAAGUCAGCGUGUUGUGCACAUAAUUGAUAGUGGCUUUCCAGCCUCCAAAAAUAGUAUUAAAAAGAUAAGCACAACCUGGGGGCGGGGAGCGAGGGGGGCGAUUUUCUGGCUUAAAGUGCAAAGAUUUGGAGAGAUCAUGUGUCUGUUCCUAGUUUUCUACACAUGCAUUUUGUUUAUAGUGUACAUGUGCAAAAACAAGUCAAAGAGCUCUCAGGGGAGUUAGGAAUCUGUCCAGCAUGUGGCAAAUCCCUAGCACAAGACAAUCCUUCACACUGCUGCCAUUCUUAGGGUCCCCUCCACGCAAGGUAUUUCUGCUGCAGGAGUUCAAGGGAUUAUUUAGAAAAGGGGUUGAGAAUGAGAACCAGUUCUCAAAAGCAGAGGUUUAAAAGCAACAGCAAUUCAAAAGCUAACCUGGUACUCAAGGUUAACAGCAGGGAUAUGCUGUGGGUGACUAUCCCAGUUCCCCUUCGGGGCUUGUUGUGGCUCACUGAGCUUUCUGCAAGGAGUUUCCUUUGUCCAGCAUGUCACCGUGUAAUCCAGACCUUUCCGAAUUGGGGGGGGAGGGAGAGGGAGGGGAUGUUAAAACGAAUAAACAUUUCAACACCCGUUCA
rnacentral:lncRNA from 1 species